AUUAAAUCGCGACCUCUAACAGAUUCUCACGUUUCCAAAGGUACCUGAAUGCACCUCGUUUAGAGCCCGGGAAGUUUGGGGGUUCCGUUUAUUAUUGCGGCCAUAAUGAGGGGAUAAGUAGUGUUUUAAAGCCGUCUGAGCUCACGUCACACGGAAAACCCCAGCGAAUAUUAUAAGUUUAAUUAUAAAACUUUUAACUAUUCUAACUCUCUCUCUACUUUUAAAAUUAAAAACUGUAAUUUUUCUUUUACUUAAGUAUGCUAUGUUUUCUUCGAAGUAUUGUACUUAGGUACACUACGGAAAUCACAUUUGUUACUGUCAAAAAAGGGGAAAUUAAAUCGCGACCUCAAACAGAUUUUCACGUUUCCAAAGGUACCUGAACGCACCUCGUUUAGAGCCCGGGAACUUUGGAGGUUCCGUUUGUUAUUGCGGCCAUAAUGAGGGGAUAAGUAGCGUUUUAAAGCCGUCUGAGCUCACGCCACACGGAAAAUCGCAGCGAAUAUUAAAAGUUAAAUUAUAAAACGUAAUAAGAUAAAUAUGAUCGACCAGUAACGUGUCUACGGUGUGGUUUUUCUUAUGAAUAUUGAAGCGGUCGGAGAGGAUAGAGUGUCCACCCGCGAUGCUCUUACAUUCGUAAGGUGCUAACAAACGGAUAAUUCCUGACUUUAUAUAUAGAAGUUUGGGAGAAUGUAACAGCGAAAUAGAGUUGUUGUCACUGGAAAUGGUAAUUUUUACUCCACCUUAAUUACGUUAGCAUAAGCAACAGGUUAUAACACGUUAUAAGUGUAACGUAAGCAGCAGUUAGCAAAAAACUUCAGUGUUUCCGGUCACAUCAGUGUUGUUUCUGGUGAACAGCAGAAUGGCCUCCGUUCCUCGUUGUAAACACAGACUGCGCAGGAGGUUUUCCCUGAAGCACUUUGGGCAGAAUCCCAGUGUUGGGCAAACCACCAGCAUCUCCUGAGAUUCCUGGAGAAAAACCUAGACACAUGUCCAAGAUAUUCCAAGACCAUCUCUCCAAGG